rnacentral:rRNA from 1 species
GAAUUAGUAAAUAUUUUUGGUUUAAUAGUUAGAUAUAAUAUAUUUUUAUGUUUAAUAUUUUUAGGUGAAAUUUUAAUUUUAAUUAUAAAUGAUUUGAUUGAAGCUAUGAAAUUUAUAUUAAAAACAAGGAUUAGAUACCCUUUUUUUUAAAUGUUAAUAUUAACCAGGGUAGUAAUAGUUAUGUUCUUGAAACCCAGAGAAUUUGGCGGUAUUUUAUUCUUUUUAGAGGAACCUGUCCUGUAAUUGAUAGUCCACGAGGUUAUUCACUUAUUUUUGUUUUCAGUUUGUAUACCUCCGUCAUAAGAGUAUCUUUUUAGAGAUAAUAUUCUAUUAAUAUAAAAUAUAUAAUGUCAGGUCAAGGUGCAAUUUAUGAAUAAGUAGAGAUGGGUUACAAUAAAUUUAUUUAUAUGGAUUAUAAUAUUUAUUGUUAUAUGAAGGUGGAUUUAAAAGUAAAAUUAAUUUCUUAUUAAUUUGAUUUUAGCUCUAAAAUAUGCACACAUCGCCCGUCGCUCUUAUUUUAAAAUAAGAUAAGUCGUAACAUAGUAGGAGUAUCGGAAGAUGCUCCUAGAAAGUUUA